rnacentral:tRNA from 1 species
AAGGCUUUAGCUUAAUAAAAGUAUCUGAGUUGCAUUCAGGUGAUGUGGGAUAAAAUCCUGCAAGUCUUA